UGGGCCAUUCCUGACGCUGAGAUGCGAAAUUAGGGGGAGAGAACGGGAUUAGAAACCCCGGUAUUCCUAGCCGUAAACGAUGUCAACUAGGUGUAGGGGGUAUCCAACCCCUCUGUGCUGUAGCAAACGCGUUAAGUUGACCGCCUGGGGACUACGGCCGCAAGGCUAAAACUCAAAGGAAUUGACGGGGACCCGCACAAGCAGCGGAGCGUGUGGUUUAAUUCGAGGCUACGCGAAGAACCUUACCAGGGUUUGACAUGACGGUGGUAGGGAUGUGAAAGCUGACCGACCCUUCGGGGAGCCGUCACAGGUGCUGCAUGGCUGUCGUCAGCUCGUGCCGUGAGGUGUUAGGUUAAGUCCUGUAACGAGCGCAACCCUCGUCGCUAGUUAUACGUGUCUAGCGAGACUGCCGGUGAUAAGCCGGAGGAAGGUGAGGAUGACGUCAAGUCAGCAUGGCCUUUAUAUCCUGGGCUACACACACGCUACAAUGGCCGGUACAAUGGGUAGCAAAACCGCGAGGUGGAGCCAAUCCCCCAAAGCCGGUCUCAGUUCGGAUUGCAGGCUGCAACUCGCCUGCAUGAAGUCGGAGUUGCUAGUAACCGCGCGUCAGCAACAGUGCGGUGAAUACGUUCCCGGGUCUUGUACACACCGCCCGUCACGUCAUGGAAGUUGGCAACGCCUGAAGUCAGUGAGCUAACCCUAACGGGAGGCAGCUGCCCAAGGCGGGGUCGGUAACUGGGACG
rnacentral:rRNA from 1 species